rnacentral:sRNA from 1 species
CAAGUUUUGUGUCAAUAUUUUCACAGGCCUGUAAACAUUGUGAGAAGUCCCUGCAUGGAAGAAUUAGUGAGAAUAACUUAAAAACACACAAACACACCAUCGUUUGGCUUUGUUGGUGUCUCUGCCCAUAGUUGAGUAUUCUAAAUUUCCUGUGUUAUAACAGUGAGUGAGUUUCACCAGGGCUUCCUAAUUUAUAAGCCCUGUAUCUGGAUUUUUAGGAAUAAAACAGAUUUGAGCAGAAGAAGUCUGUUGGAUGCAGGGAGUAUAAAAGGGGAAAGCAUCCUGCUGUUUCCAGUGGCAGAAGAGAAAGAGAAGUACCAGUGAAGAGGGGUGAACAACAUCACUCUCGUGCCAGACACAGACAAGGAAGGAUUAGGCUUGCAGUCCCCCAGUCUCAGCCUCUCUCCACUCUCACAAGCAGGAAGGGAUCUGAGCUCUCUUCCUCUGAAGACGGGCCAGUUCCUUGCUGUCUGGCAAGAGGAAACAGCUGGGGUGCACUUCACUGGGAGUUGGGCAAGAUGUCGGCAGUUUCCUGGUGCCCUUCAAGUCCUCCAAAAGUAUCGAGCU